ACGAUUGACGGAGCGGAGCGACGUCAAAGCGUUUUACAACGUUGAGUUGGCUUAGGGAUACGUUCGUUGGGUAGGGGAGCGUUCUGUAAGCCUGCGAAGGUGUGCUGUGAGGCAUGCUGGAGGUAUCAGAAGUGCGAAUGCUGACAUAAGUAACGAUAAAGCGGGUGAAAAGCCCGCUCGCCGGAAGACCAAGGGUUCCUGUCCAACGUUAAUCGGGGCAGGGUGAGUCGACCCCUAAGGCGAGGCCGAAAGGCGUAGUCGAUGGGAAACGGGUUAAUAUUCCCGUACUUGGUGUUACUGCGAAGGGGGGACGGAGAAGGCUAUGUUGGCCGGGCGACGGUUGUCCCGGUUUAAGCGUGUAGGUGUGUGUUCCAGGUAAAUCCGGUUCACUUUAACACUGAGGCGUGAUGACGAGGCACUACGGUGCUGAAGCAACAAAUGCCCUGCUUCCAGGAAAAGCCUCUAAGCAUCAGGUAACACGAAAUCGUACCC
rnacentral:rRNA from 3 species